GCAGAUGUGGAUUCAUUACUUCCUGAACCGACUGUGCACAAGCCAAACAGUGGAAUUCCAGAGAACGCCUGAAGGCAAACCUUCUUUGGAAAGGUGCAACUCCCCAUGUGACUGCGUCAGGAAAGUGUGCUUUUAAGAGUGCUGAGCUUGACGAGGUGACGGCAGACCUCACAGAGCAGCAGAGGCUUCACUUGGAGUAACAAAGCAGUCUCAAUCCUGCAACCAAGCUUCUGAUAAAUCACCAGGACUCUUCCACUCUGCUGAAAUCACCAUGUUACAAAAUGAGGAGCUCGAGUGUGUUGUGUGCUGCUACGAGUACUCGCGCAGCCACCGGAUCCCACGGGUCCUCCACUGCAACCACACCUUCUGCGCCCCUUGCCUGGAAAAAAUGUCCAAGCUGGAGGGCGUCAUUUACACCGUCUCCUGCCCCUUGUGCCGCUGGAUUACCUGCACCCGAGCCAGCCUCACCCUACCCGGAGCCCUGUGGGUCAACACUGAGAUCUGGGACCAGAUUGCAGAGGAGCAGAGGGCGAGGACAAAUGGAUCUGUGGAGGAUCUGAAAGACACAAAGACACCCCUCAUCACACCAACACUGCCUGUUUCAAGGCCGACUGGUUUCACAUCAACGCUCCAAAAGUUGCUCAGCUGUGUGCUGCUGCAAAGAGGGAACAUGGACGGCUGCUGACAGUUUAAUGCCACAAGAAAUUCCAGCUUCACUCACCGUUGUUGACAUGCCUAACUUGACAGACCUGAUGAAUAUGAGCAUGACUCAGGGACUAGUGUAUGAUCACGGUUCAAAGUAAAGGACUGGCUACGUUUGUGUUUUGUGAGGAGCAAAGUCCAGAACAGCUUCAUGUGAAGUUUCAAGUCCUUUUUGUGUUGAACCUGGAGGUGGUUCUACAAGGACAGCACUGACUUUAAGUAUACAAGUUCUGACUUGUGAAUCUAUGAUUUACUGCAGUGAAACUAAUGAAAAAUAUCAACAAAUCAACUUUCAGUUCAUCUUGAAGUCUUCUCAAGUAAGUCAUUCAGUAGUAAUAGGCCUGCUGUGAAUGUUUAUUAUUAUAAUAUAUAUAAAAUUCUAUGCAUAUAUAUAUAUAUAUAUAUAUAUAUAUAUAUAUAUAUAUAUAUAUAUAUAUAUAUAUAUAUAUAUAUAUAUAUAUAUAUAAAUAAAAAAUAAAUAAUUAUAGAUAUGUAUUAUAGUAUUUAUUGUACAGUUGCAAUGUAUUGUUAACUGCUUUGUCACUUCGACCAAAUGCAUUUUGAGCUUCUGAAAGAAAAUCUGAUCUGAUGUGCAUAUGAAGUCUGUAACUGUAUCGUUGGUAUGAAGGAUUCAUAUCAUCAAAGCUACUCUAAAUUUAUUCAGGUGUGUAACAUGAGCAUAAAUGGAAUCAUAACUGUGAACUGUCUAGAACAUUGUCUGAGUCACAGACAAUUGUGCACAUUUCGAAACUAUUUAACAAAUGUCAUCAGUGAAUAAAUGUUCUUUUAUCCAAAUAUGGGAGCGAUUUUAUUAAAAGCUGUUGAAAAGUAUUUUUCGGCUAGGGUCCAGUUUUUGUUUUUUUGUUUGUUUUAUUUGAGAAAAAGAAAAGCAUAUACACUACAUAAAGAAACAGUGUUUGCUUCUUUGUUGAUUCUGUCAGAUGGAAAACUACAAAUUGAAACUUGCACAUUUUUAUUGAUUUCAU
ensembl:lncRNA